CCCAAAAAGUCUAGUAAAUUUCUAAAUACAAAAGCUGUACAACACUCCCAAAAUGUGAAUCCAAGUCAAUGCUGCAUUUUAUGCAUCACCCUUACUGAAAUGUUUCCAUUUCAAAAGAAGAGAUGUUAACAAGAGCAGAAUGUACCAUAAAAAAAAUUAUUAAUUCAACAGAUAAGCUACUAGAGAAUGACAGCAUUACUAAUUUGCAAGUAUAAUAUCAGAUGAGAUUUUGGGUUAUUUCUUUCACUUACCGCAAAAAUAAAAAUAGCAGUGAGAUCAUUCUAAUUUUACAUGGCACACUUUGAAAGUAAAGAGCCUAACAAAAAAUCCUGCAGUCAGCAAACACAACCAUUACCUAUUUCUGACUUUCAAUUUUGUCAGUGAAGUUUUCCAAGAGAACUUACUUUUGCAAGAAGACUGCUGCAUUAGAUAAAUCAACCAAACAGACGAGCAGCAGAUUGUGCAGUGUGUAGGAAAAAACUGAAACUAAAGAAAAAGAAACUCACCAGCAAGACAAAUGGGAAAGUUUGUAACCAUUAAAAACUACAGAUAUUCUGAGUGUGGGAACUGUCCUGCUCUUUCUGUCAUUAAGCAUUGCUCCUCUGAAAACAGGAUUACAGCCACCACUUGUCCGUAUCUCAGCUCUUUGGGAACGGAUGGCUGGACGGAUGGAUUAGUGCUAUUUUUAUUGAAGGUCCAAUAACAUGGAUUUAAUGCUGAGGUGGAGAAAUACUGGUAAGAAAACAACAGCAAUCUCACCUCUAGGAUAAUUUCUGCCAGGAAACUCUACGGAGUAAUGUAAUCAAUGGUACAUUAAUUCUAGUUUUGCCCGGACUAGUUCUAGCUUUUAUUCAAAUAGUACCCUUAGUUUUCAGGGUCUAGAAGGCAGUUAUAAUUCUCAGCACUUUCUUGAGUCUUAACGUUUAAGAAACUGCAAAUGACUGGUGUCUAAUUGCUCUAUCAAAUGCGCCUGUAAACACUAUUUUGUUGUGCUCCACUGUAGUCCCCUGCUGCUGUCUGCUCAGAAGGGUUAGCAGCCAGCCCUGAGGGCUAUCAUAGUAAUUCAUUUUCUUUGAAACCAUUGACACUGAAGAGAAUAAGUGGGAAUGGCUGGAAAGGAAGAAACUAUUGAAAACUACAGUUACUGCAUCUCUUGAAGAUUAAGUUUCACUUGCAACACACUCAUAAUCAAGACUGCAGUUACUAAAAACACAACUGAUUCCACAAGAAAUUUCCUGAUGAUUGAGAAUUCUUUCCCCAUUUUGCAAAAGCACACACCAGUUAUCACUGGUAGAUACCCAACAUACCCACUACGCCACUGACGCAUCUUUAUACUGACUGCACUGUAACAUUUAACUUGUAACUGUGCGUUCCUGUCAGUUUUUAAAACUGCUUUUUUCUCAAAUUUGACAGAUGCCAAGUCCACCUGAGGAGCACAGGACACCAGCUGUUACCAUACAACCAAUGCUCUGAACCCACAGAUAUGGAAUUAAUUCCGUGCUUGAUGGAAUUAAUGCCCCAUGUCUCCACCAGCCCCAGAAGGGCUGAGACAUUUCCUCUCAAGACAGCAGCUACUCCAUGUGCAAGAGGAGCCAACCCCUUUUAGAUAUCAUAAAGAAGAAGGAAGAGCUGCUGACCUUUGCUUGGAAAUAUUAAUCCCAGUCUACCUUUAUCUGAAGCGCGGGAGGAAGAACAAGUCAAGAUUAGAGGCCAGGGCUGCCUCCAGGAAACCAAAGGUUUAGGACAAACAGGACUUCUGACAAUCGCCAGCUGUCACAGUAAGACGGCCAGGUACCUUGGUGUCUUUGAAACUGUUACAGAAUUGUGUAAGUCACAGAUUCAGAGAAAGACAGCAAAUUUCCCCCCUGCCCAUAUCUCCAUCAUCGAAGCCUUUAUCAUAGCUUUCCUCUCUCACUUCAAAGAUAAAGACAUCAGCACUGUCCGUAGACCUUUUGGAGGUCAUCUUAGGAUGUACACAUCUGUGAACACUACACUAUCGUUUUCAGAAGGAUGCGUAACGACAAACUUCUGUAAAUGUGAAAUUCUCCCACUAAGUGAAGCAUGUUUCUGUUCAGGAAUUUUAAGACUAUAAUGGUCCAAAGUUCCAAAGCCUUUGUGCUUUGGACUUCCAUGGUCUUUAUGCAUUGGUCUUCCACGUAGGAGAAAGGUGACAGAUGUCAACCACAUCUUGAUGUUGCUUAUCAUAAACCAACAUAUCAUAAGUGGAUUUCUAAAAGUACAUCAACUUCUGUUAUAAAGCCAAGGUGGGCCUGAAGUCAGAGACCCAAUGGUACCAAAAUGCAAAGUCAGUACUGACAAAAAGAAGGAAAAACAUGCAGCAUUUAUAUUGUGUGCAUAGAACAACUUUAUAUGUUUAAACAGACAGGGAUACCUAUAUACACUUAACUAGCUUUAAAAUAAACAACAUAAACCAGACAGACUAAAGAAAUUCCUUGAAAAACAACUCCAAUCAUCCUAUAUUUCCACUGUGUGUAGACAGCAGUUACCUGUGUAAGGAUGUAGCUCCUCUGGGCCUCUUCCAUUUUUAUUAAACUAGCAUUGAUAUAGUCA